rnacentral:rRNA from 1 species
UACGAAGGGGGCUAGCGUUGUCCGGAAUCAUUGGGCGUAAAGAGCGUGUAGGCGGUCCGUUAAGUCGGCUGUGAAAGUCCAAGGCUCAACCUUGGGAUGCCGGUCGAUACUGCCGGACUAGAGUUCGGAAGAGGCGAGUGGAAUUCCCGGUGUAGCGGUGAAAUGCGCAGAUAUCGGGAGGAACACCUAUGGCGAAGGCAGCUCGCUGGGACGUUACUGACGCUGAGACGCGAAAGCGUGGGGAGCAAACAGG